CCAGCAACAGCCAGGGACAGACUGCAAGGAGUGAAGGUCAAGGUUGGAUUAACUUUACUUGGUGUGUGCCAUGCCUAGGAGGUGAUUGGUAGGAAGGCCCUGGUCAUUGGCCACAGCAGGGAGUCACCUGUGCAUAUAAGAAGCCAAGAUGGUGGACCAGAGCUGGCAGCAGGCAUUCCUCCUUUCUCAACCGGCCACAGCUUUUGCACGCAUCAACAUGAACCCAUCUGACAGGAUGAACAUGAACCCAUGUGUCAGAGCCUUACUCGAACUACACAGUGUUCAAAACAGCUAUUGUGAGAGAGUUCUUGAAGAAGCGACAUAAUGAAUCACUAGUGUCUGACGACAAUGACAGAAAGGACACUAAAUUCCAAAUAAAUACGAGAUUAUUAUUCACUAUUGCUGCAUGGCAUUAAUAAAGAUGCAUCACAUAAGUCAGAAUUAAUGUUUGCUUGUUUGACUGAACGUGUGGUGAUUGAACGCAUGCAUAUCUUUGUCUCGUUUACGUGGGGGCAUCACGCCACGUCUCUUGAUGCAUCAAUGACAUGUUCAGUGAGUGUGUGUGCUCUGCAGCAGCUUGUUGGGCUGAGUUGUAAAGCCUUGUCCCCAGCUCGUCCUGCCUUUAUGUGGCCCAGACAAU